GGAGGCUACCGCUAUUGGAAUCCGAUUAAGCCAUGCGAGUCGAGAGACUUCGGGUCUCGGCAGACGUCUCAGUAACACGUGGAUAAUCUACCCUUGAGUGGGGGAUAAGCUUGGAAACCUGAGUAUAAUACCCCAUAGGCCUAGGAUGCUGGAAUGCUUCUAGGCUGAAAGCUCUGGCGCUCAAGGAUGAGUCUGCGACCUAUCAGGCUGUAGUGGGUGUAACGGACCCACUAACCUUCGACGGGUACGGGCCUUGAGAGAGGUUGCCCGGAGUUGGACUCUUAGACACGAGUCCAGGCCCUACGGGGUGCAGCAGGCGCGAAAACUUCACAAUGUGGGAAACCACGAUGAGGGGAUUCCAAGUGCCAGCACACUGUGUUGGCUGUUCAUCUGCCUAAAAAGCUGGUGAAGUAAGGGCCGGGUAAGACGGGUGCCAGCCGCCGCGGUAAUACCCGCGGCCCGAGUGGUGGUCGUUAUUAUUGAGCCUAAAGCGUCCGUAGCCGGUCCAGUAAAUCUCUGGGUAAAUCGGGCAGCUUAACCGUCCGAAUUCCGGAAAGACUGCUGGACUUGGGACCGGGGGAGGUUGGAGGUACUCCUGGGGUAGGGGUGAAAUCCUGUAAUCCUGGGGGGACCACCAGUGGCGAAGGCGUCCAACCAAAACGGCUCCGACGGUAAGGGACGAAGCCCUGGGGCGCAAACGGGAUUAGAUACCCCGGUAGUCCAGGGUGUAAACGCUGCAGGUUUGGUGUUGGGGGUCCUACGAGGGCGCCCAGUGCCGGAGAGAAGUUGUUAAACCUGCCGCUUGGGGAGUACGUCCGCAAGGAUGAAACUNA
rnacentral:rRNA from 1 species